rnacentral:rRNA from 1 species
CAAGGGAAAGGUGGCACCUUUUUAGGUGUGUUAUAGUCCCCUGUCGGAUGCAAGGGUCAGGAUUGAGGAACUCAGCAUGCACCUUUGGGUGUCGGGGUCUUUGCCCACGUUAUGUGCUUAGGAUGCUGGCGUAAUGGCUUUAAACGA